GAGCACCGCGAAUUCCAUCGCCACAGCCUCGCGCAGCCGCGUCGUCCUUCUCCGGCAUCGCGCGAUCCCUAGCAGGUUCGAGACACCCCCACCUCCUUGGCUCCGCCCUAGCCUCUCCCCCCUAGCUCUAGUCGAUUCUCUCUGCUUACACCGUGCGAUGGCAGAGGCGAAUUGGGGCGUCGCUUGGUAAUUUCCGAUGGCGAUUCGUACGGUUCAGGUUCGUGAGAGCCGGUGAUUGAUUCGGCGCUGUUUAUGCUAGCUUCGUGGUUCCGUCCCGGCAUUUUUGUGCGCCUCUGCCUACGAAGUGAGGCUUCGUGUGUUUUGUUUUGGGGGCAGUAGAGUUGCGUGUGGCUUCGUUAUGAUCAUUUGAUUGAUAACUUUGAUUAGUCAUCCUUCUGAGUCGGGGUUUGUUCAUCAUCAUUUGAGACGAAGCGAGUUUAAUGUCGAAUUGGUAGGCAUGUGCGGGAGCAGUAACCUGUUCUGUAUUACUACGUUGGAGUAGCAAUCAAGUGUCUGAUCAUCAUCUACAAUCUGAGCAGUUAUUACCUAUUCAUGCCGUGCUCUGUAGAUUCCUGGGUCAAUUGCAAUAUCUUACACACAGCUCUGAUAAUUUUUUUGGAAUGUAUACAUGUGGAUCUCUAUUGCAGUUGUCUCAUAUGAAAUCCUGUUUGCAUAGCUGUUGCGCUAUGUUUAUGUCGCUGAGUUGUUGUGGUAUUUUUUUUUACUGAAUCACCUCAACAGCCUUCCGUUUUGCCUUGAAUCGGUGAAUCCAUUUGAUGCCAACUCCCCAAUCAUGUCUCACUGUAGAGUUCAUGCGCUGAUAGUAGCCACCAAUAUAAGUUAAAAUGAGUGUUUCAGGGAAUGUAACUACUCUGGUAAUAUCAGUUAAAAUGCUUAGUAAGAAAUGUUGUCCAUGUGUGUGUGAUCCAUGCCGUUGAAAGCCAUGGCCAUCAAAUAGCUUGUUCACCCAACUAAAGUUCUAAUUAUCAUUCCAAAUGGUGUAUGAAUAUUUGAUUCUUCCAGAAAACAAACAACUGCUUGACGGAAGAAAGCGAAUAAUUCAAUUUCUGUUUUUCUAUCUUACGAUAAGGAAUGUUUCAUUCUAUUUGAUUGGGAAAUAGUUAUUGAAAUCUUGCCAUUAUUUCAAACGUUUGUUGGAACAGACAGAUUAGUCAACAAAGAAAAAUUAAGUGGUGGAGAUCUUCCUAAAAUGAAAUCAAGACGAUGAGAUAAGAAUGGAGAUUUAAUGUGGUUUGUUGGAGAUGCCAAAGGUAGGAGAUGAAGGACAGUUGGAAGGGGAUAAUGGAGGACAAUUAUAGCGUCACUAGAGCCUGGGGCGGAGAGGUAGGGGCUGUCUGUGCAGGUUUGCAGUGCAGCUGGGCCAAACAUCGCUUACAGUUUAAGCUGUAGGCUGUUAUAAAGUAAAAGCUGCGGAGGUACAGUUUCGGCCACUGUGUGCAGGAAGAUGAGAAGUCAAGGUACGGGAUUUGAUCACUCUAGUUUUUCUUUUACAACUUAAUAAUUCUGUAGAUCCCUGUGUAUUUAUUCCAAUCCUGUAUGUUUACGUAGGAUUUUAUGUUGCACUGAUCUUCUAUAUGCACUGAUCUACGGCCGCUAUCUCCUGUUUAUUAUCUACUUCACAUAGGUUAUAUAUAUGAUCUUGUUUCCACUUGUUGGUGCUUGUAUAGGUAUUUUGAUUGGACCUUUGUGUCAUAUUUAGUCUGCCUAUUUGGCAGUUGGUACUUGCUAUUCGCUAAUAUAGGAAGGUAAUCAGAUAAUCAUAAAAUUUGAAGUCAUACAAAAUGAUCAGAAAUCAGAAGCUGCCAUGUUGUUGUUGUUACAAGCUAGCCUAUGCUUGGAGAGACAGGCCUGCAAAGUGGCAUUAACACUGCAAGAUUUAGUGGUGGUUUGGAAAAUCUAAGCGUGUUCAGGACAGAUUGUACCAUGGUUGGCUUGUGUCUUAAGUAUGAAAAUCAGCGAUAAUGACCAAACAUUCAUAAGAUGAGACUUUUCAAACUGGAUAAAUCGCAUUCAAAUGCUCCGAUCUGUAAAUUGUGAAUUUUAAUUUUAAUAUAUUUAUUAAAGCCAGCACUGAUUCACCCAAAGAAAGCGAUGUUUGUGAAGACUUUAAACUGUGGACCGCAAACGAACGUGGCAACCUCGUCCUACUGUGUGUGUCCUCGUUGUACUAGAGUCUAGAUGAAUCUUGUACCUCUUCUGCACACAUCAUAUCAAUAAAAGUUGAUUUUGCUCGAAUCAAGCUUAUAUGUCAGCAAGACCAUUUAGCUCAGGAGCUGACACCACAUAAAUUUAUUCUGCGUAAAUCAACCUGACUGUAGAUUGUCCUGCUGGUAUUUGCAUUGUUCAAUAGACUCUAAGGUUAACUUAACUACUCCCUCUUGCAAGUAAUAGGAAAGUUGGUCCCAUGGGCCCAUGCAAGUCAAGGUAGUUUGUGAGUUUAUUUGAGACAUCACGUCCUCCAAGUAGUUGUUUCUUUGAUUCUGGAACAGUGCAUGGUCCAGCUAACCAGCUAGCAGACCCUCUCGUGAAUUACUGCUGAUCUGGUCGAGUGCCAGAACGCAGCAAUGAACCCAUACCAUAGAAUCACGGAGGGGAGGGGUCGGACAUUCGUGUAGGUCCUGCGAGAAAUUAUGGUGUGGCGCACCAGACUUGACUUUGACAACUUGUCUGUGCAGCAGUAGCAAUUGGCGCAUGUAGGUUCCGCGGGGCACUCAGCGAGAUUCAAUCUUCACGUGACAUUUAGGCCGACCUUUUAUUAUGGAUCGCUGGUGAGUGUCCUUCCCAUGCCCCUCUUGCCGGUGGUCCUAGCUUGUUGCGGAUAGCCGUUCAGUUCCAUGUCAAAACGGUCGUCUUCUGAAGGCUGCCUCUUCUGAAUGCAGGGGGGAAGAAUCGUAAAAGUUUCAGGUGUCAACAAAUUGUGUCGCUGCGGAAAAGAGGGAUCAGACCAAAGCAGUGGCCUUGGUAGGGCAAG
rnacentral:lncRNA from 1 species